rnacentral:sRNA from 1 species
AAGAAAGUAAGUCCCGCCCCGGACAGGGGCAAUGCCAAUAGACCACUAAGAAAACAAGUUCCACAGAAGAAGCAGAAGCAUCGAAAAUCACCCGCGCAUCAGCGCCCCAAGU